rnacentral:rRNA from 1 species
UACGUAGGUGGCAAGCGUUGUCCGGAUUUACUGGGCGUAAAUAGCGCGCAGGCGGUCGUUCAAGUCGCGUGUGAAAGACCCCGGCUCAACUGGGGAGGGUCACGCGAUACUGAUCGACUCGAAGGCAGGAGAGGGUAGUGGAAUUCCCGGUGUAGUGGUGAAAUGCGUAGAUAUCGGGAGGAACACCAGUGGCGAAGGCGACUACCUGGCCUGUUUCUUGACGCUGAGGCGCGAAAGCUAGGGGAGCAAACGGG